UACGUAGGGUGCGAGCGUUAAUCGGAAUUACUGGGCGUAAAGCGUGCGCAGGCGGUUUUGUAAGCCAGAUGUGAAAGCCCCGGGCUUAACCUGGGAAUGGCAUUUGGGACUGCAAGGCUUGAGUGCGGCAGAGGAGACUGGAAUUCCUGGUGUAGCGGUGAAAUGCGCAGAUAUCAGGAGGAACACCGAUGGCGAAGGCAGGUCUCUGGGCAUUAACUGACGCUGAGGAGCGAAAGCAUGGGGAGCGAACAGG
rnacentral:rRNA from 1 species